GCAACAAGAUUGAUUGAUUCCCCCCCUUGAUACCUCAGGACCAGAACCACUAACAGACGCUGUAGAGAAGCUCACUGUGCACAUUUUGAUCCACAUCAUGUACAUCAGUGUAGCACAUUCACAAACUAAGGGAUUAGGAUAUUGUUGAGCUGAAUGCCACCGAAAGCAUUUGCACUUACAAAAAAUAUAAUGAUCUAUGUUUAAUAAAGCAACCCAUGACUUGCAUAAACUGGGGCUGAAAAUUUAGGAUUGUGAAAUACUAGAAUAUCCUGAAUUGAAAGGGUCCCACACAAGGGUCAUCCAGUCCAACUCCUGGCCCUUCACAGCACUAUCCCCAAGAGUUACACCAUGUGCCUGAGAGUGUUGUCCAGAAGCUUCUUGAGCUCUGUCAGGUUUGGUGUUGUGACCACUUCCCUGGGGAGCGGCUCCAGUGCCCAGCCACCCUCUGAAUGAUGAACCUUUUUCUAAUAUCCAACCUAAACCUCCUCUGACACAACUUCAGGCCAUUCCCUAGGUUCCUGUCACUGUCAUCACAGAGAAGUGUCUGCCCCUCCUCUUCCCCUCAUGGGGAAGUUGUAACUGCAGUGAGGUCUCCCCUCAGUCUCUACUUCUCCAGGCUGACCAGACCAAGUGACCUCAGCCACUCCUCACAGCUUCCCCUGAAGGCCCUUUCCCAUCUUUGCUGCCCUCCUUUGGACAUUCUCUAAUAGUUUAAUGUCUUCCUUUUAUUGUGGUGCCCAAAACUGCCCCCAGGACAUGAGGUGAGGCCACCCCAGUGCAGAGCAGAGCUGGAGAAUCCCCUCCCUUGCCCAGGUGGUGAUGUUGUGCCUGAAGACCCCAGGACAGGGAUGUCCUUCCUGGCUGCCAGGGCACUGCUGACUAGGAGCCCACUGCCUGAAUUCAAACCUUUCUGUUCUUGAUCUGCUCAGCAGAGUGAAGAGUCACACUCUCUGUGUAAGAGGUGAAAAGCAUCUGUAGCACAUUGCAAGACUAUUCUGUCUGUACAGUUGGCUGUUUCCAAAGGAGAAAAAUCACCACAGCAAGUCUUGGGCUGCCUUUACCUCUACACACUUUGGGACUCUAAGCCUUGAUGACCUCCUGGAGUUACAGGUGGGACAGCUGCUGAGUCUCAGUCCAGGCAUGGGGCCAGUUUACAGCAGCCUUGCAGAGUGUCUGAGAUUCUACAGCUCUGUGUCUUCUACUGCUCUGUUUGAGAUGGUUCUGCCUGCGCUGGUUCUACAGGAAACAUUUCCAAGCCCAGUUAAUGUGAAAGCCCAGAGAUGCUCUCAUCUCUGAGAGGCAAAGUAUUAAUGUGGCCAAACUUCUGCUUUGCAAUAGU
rnacentral:lncRNA from 1 species